GACGAACGCUGGCGGCGUGCUUAACACAUGCAAGUCGAACGGUGAAGCGCCUUCCUUUUUGGUGGGUGUGGAUGAGUGGCGAACGGGUGAGUAACACGUGAGUAACCUGCCCCCUUCUUCUGGAUAACCGCAUGAAAGUGUGGCUAAUACGGGAUAUUCUGGGUCUGUCGCAUGAUGGGUCUGGGAAAGAUAUUGUUUCGGUGGGGGAUGGGCUCGCGGCCUAUCAGCUUGUUGGUGGGGUGAUGGCCUACCAAGGCGGUGACGGGUAGCCGGCCUGAGAGGGUGGACGGUCACACUGGGAGUGAGACACGGCCCAGACUCCUACGGGAGGCAGCAGUGGGGAAUAGUGCACAAUGGGCGAAAGCCUGAUGCAGCGACGCCGCGUGAGGGAUGGAGGCCUUCGGGUUGUGAACCUCUUUCGCCAGUGAAGCAGGCCUGCCUCGUUUGUGGGUGGGUUGACAGUAGCUGGAAAAGAAGCGCCGGCUAACUACGUG
rnacentral:rRNA from 1 species